UUUUCAUCACCAAUAAUUCCUUAUUCGCCACCAUAUUCUUUAACCCAAUCAGCAAAAUUACCCACGAAUCAUUAAUUGAUGCAUUUGAUUUUGAUUACUUGAUUUAGGGUUUCAAAAUAUAAGCCCCUAAAUCAUAAUUCAAAACAACCCAAAUAAUAACUAAUGAAACCCUAAAUCCAUAAUAGUAAGCCUAAAAGGAAUUAAGCGGUGGCGGCUAAAGGAAGCAUUUGAUGCUCCAGAGUG
rnacentral:lncRNA from 1 species